rnacentral:rRNA from 1 species
GAUCUUCGGACCUUGCGCUUUAGGAAAAGCUUGCGUCGGAUUAGCUGGUUGGUAGGGUAAAGGCCUACCAAGGCAACGAUCCGUAGCUGGUCUGAGAGGAUGAUCAGCCACAUUGGGACUGAGACACGGCCCAAACUCCUACGGGAGGCAGCAGUGGGGAAUCUUGGACAAUGGGGGAAACCCUGAUCCAGCAAUGCCGCGUGUGUGAAGAAGGCCUGCGGGUUGUAAAGCACUUUCAGUGGGGAAGAAAUACUCAAGGUUAAUAUCCUUGAGGGUUGACGUUACCUACAGAAGAAGCACCGGCUAACUCUGUGCCAGCAGCCGCGGUAAUACAGAGGGUGCAAGCGUUAAUCGGAGUUACUGGGCGUAAAGCGUGCGUAGGCGGACGCUUAAGUCGAAUGUGAAAGCCCCGGGCUUAACCUGGGAAUUGCGUUCGAUACUGGGUGUCUAGAGUAUAGUAGAGGAAAGUGGAAUUUCCGGUGUAGCGGUGAAAUGCGUAGAUAUCGGAAAGAACAUCAGUGGCGAAGGCGGCUUUCUGGACUAAUACUGACGCUGAGGUACGAAAGCGUGGGGAGCAAACAGGAUUAGAGACCCUGGUAGUCCACGCUGUAAACGAUGAGAACUAGGCGUUAGUUCUGCUUAUGCAGAAUUAGUGCCGAAGCUAACGCGUUAAGUUCUCCGCCUGGGGAGUACGGUCGCAAGAUUAAAACUCAAAGGAAUUGACGGGGACCCGCACAAGCGGUGGAGCAUGUGGUUUAAUUCGAUGCUACGCGAAAAACCUUACCUACCCUUGACACCCUCGAAAUCCUGCAGAGAUGCAGGAGUGCCUUCGGGAAUCGAGAGACAGGUGCUGCAUGGCUGUCGUCAGUUCGUGUCGUGAGAUGUUGGGUUAAGUCCCGUAACGAGCGCAACCCUUGUCCUUAGUUGCCAGCACAUUAUGGUGGGCACUCUAAGGAGACUGCCGGUGAUAAACCGGAGGAAGGCGGGGAUGACGUCAAGUCAUCAUGGCCCUUACGGGUAGGGCUACACACGUGCUACAAUGGGGAGUACAAAGGGUUGCCAAGCCGUGAGGUGGAGCUAAUCCCAAAAAACUUCUCGUAGUCCGGAUUGAAGUCUGCAACUCGACUUCAUGAAGCUGAAAUCGCUAGUAAUC